rnacentral:rRNA from 1 species
AUACGUAUGUCGCAAGCGUUAUCCGGAAUUAUUGGGCGUAAAGCGAGUCUAGGCGGCUUGUUAAGUCAGAUGUGAAAAUGCGGGGCUCAACUCCGUAUUGCGUUUGAAACUGGCAGGCUAGAGUACUGGAGAGGUGGGCGGAACUACAAGUGUAGAGGUGAAAUUCGUAGAUAUUUGUAGGAAUGCCGAUAGUGAAGACAGCUCACUGGACAGAUACUGACGCUAAAGCUCGAAAGCGUGGGGAGCAAACAGGAUUAGAAACCCCAGUAGUCC